rnacentral:rRNA from 1 species
UGCCUCAGCACCUGCAUCUCUUCAGGUUGUGAUCUCAUCAGAUCUCAUAAGGUAAGCAGAUUCUGGCCUGCAUAAUAAUUGGUUGGGACCUUUCCAAAGAAAAUCCCAGGUGCUAAGGAAA